rnacentral:piRNA from 1 species
UGGCUUGCAGUUCUUCUUCUAGGG